UUAAAUUGAAGAGUUUGAUCAUGGCUCAGAUUGAACGCUGGCGGCAGGCCUAACACAUGCAAGUCGAACGGUAACAGGAAGCAGCUUGCUGCUUUGCUGACGAGUGGCGGACGGGUGAGUAAUGUCUGGGAAACUGCCUGAUGGAGGGGGAUAACUACUGGAAACGGUAGCUAAUACCGCAUAACGUCGCAAGACCAAAGAGGGGGACCUUCGGGCCUCUUGCCAUCGGAUGUGCCCAGAUGGGAUUAGCUAGUAGGUGGGGUAACGGCUCACCUAGGCGACGAUCCCUAGCUGGUCUGAGAGGAUGACCAGCCACACUGGAACUGAGACACGGUCCAGACUCCUA
rnacentral:rRNA from 1 species